rnacentral:rRNA from 1 species
UGGGGAAUAUUGCGCAAUGGGGGAAACCCUGACGCAGCAACGCCGCGUGAAGGAAGAAGGCCUUCGGGUUGUAAACUUCUUUGAUUGGGGACGAAGGAAGUGACGGUACCCAAAGAACAAGCCACGGCAAACUACGUGCCAGCAGCCGCGGUAAUACGUAGGGGGCGAGCGUUGUCCGGAAUUACUGGGCGUAAAGGGCGUGUAGGCGGCCUGUUAAGUCAGGGGUGAAAGACCGGGGCUCAACCCCGGGGGUGCCUCUGAAACUGGCGGGCUUGAGUGCUCUAGAGGGCAGUGGAAUUCCCGGUGUAGCAGUGAAAGGCGUAGAGAUCGGGAGGAACACCAGUGGCGAAGGCGGCUGCCUGGGGAGUCACUGACGCUGAGGCGCGAAAGCUAGGGGAGCAAACAGG